rnacentral:rRNA from 1 species
GAUGAACGCUAGCGGCAGGCUUAACACAUGCAAGUCGAGGGGCAGCACGUCUUCGGAUGGUGGCGACCGGCGCACGGGUGCGUAACGCGUAUAGAACCUACCUUUUACAGGGGAAUAGCCCAGAGAAAUUUGGAUUAAUGCCCCAUAGUAUUAUUAGAUGGCAUCAUUUGAUAAUUAAACAUUUAUGGGUAAAAGAUGGCUAUGCGUUCUAUUAGCUAGAUGGUAAGGUAACGGCUUACCAUGGCGACGAUAGAUAGGGGUCCUGAGAGGGAGAUCCCCCACACUGGUACUGAGACACGGACCAGACUCCUACGGGAGGCAGCAGUGAGGAAUAUUGGACAAUGGGCGAGAGCCUGAUCCAGCCAUGCCGCGUGCAGGAAGACGGUCCUAUGGAUUGUAAACUGCUUUUAUACAGGAAGAAACACUCCCUCGUGAGGGAAUUUGACGGUACUGUAUGAAUAAGCACCGGCUAACUCCGUGCCAGCAG